UUUUAUGGAGAGUUUGAUCCUGGCUCAGGAUGAACGCUGGCGGCGUGCCUAAUACAUGCAAGUCGAGCGAACGGACGAGAAGCUUGCUUCUCUGAUGUUAGCGGCGGACGGGUGAGUAACACGUGGAUAACCUACCUAUAAGACUGGGAUAACUUCGGGAAACCGGAGCUAAUACCGGAUAAUAUUUUGAACCGCAUGGUUCAAAAGUGAAAGACGGUCUUGCUGUCACUUAUAGAUGGAUCCGCGCUGCAUUAGCUAGUUGGUAAGGUAACGGCUUACCAAGGCAACGAUGCAUAGCCGACCUGAGAGGGUGAUCGGCCACACUGGAACUGAGACACGGUCCAGACUCCUACGGGAGGCAGCAGUAGGGAAUCUUCCGCAAUGGGCGAAAGCCUGACGGAGCAACGCCGCGUGAGUGAUGAAGGUCUUCGGAUCGUAAAACUCUGUUAUUAGGGAAGAACAUAUGUGUAAGUAACUGUGCACAUCUUGACGGUACCUAAUCAGAAAGCCACGGCUAACUACGUGCCAGCAGCCGCGGUAAUACGUAGGUGGCAAGCGUUAUCCGGAAUUAUUGGGCGUAAAGCGCGCGUAGGCGGUUUUUUAAGUCUGAUGUGAAAGCCCRCGGCUCAACCGUGGAGGGUCAUUGGAAACUGGAAAACUUGAGUGCAGAAGAGGAAAGUGGAAUUCCAUGUGUAGCGGUGAAAUGCGCAGAGAUAU
rnacentral:rRNA from 1 species